rnacentral:rRNA from 1 species
GAUGAACGCUGGCGGCGUGCCUAAUACAUGCCAGUAGAACGCUGAAGGAGGAGCUUGCUCUUCUGGAUGAGUUGCGAACGGGUGAGUAACGCGUAGGUAACCUGCCUGGUAGCGGGGGAUAACUAUUGGAAACGAUAGCUAAUACCGCAUGACAACAGUUAUUGCAUGAUAACUGUUUAAAAGGGGCAACUGCUCCACUACCAGAUGGACCUGCGUUGUAUUAGCUAGUUGGUGAGGUAACGGCUCACCAAGGCGACGAUACAUAGCCGACCUGAGAGGGUGAUCGGCCAAACUGGGACUGAGACACGGCCCAGACUCCUACGGGAGGCAGCAGUAGGGAAUCUUCGGCAAUGGACGGAAGUCUGACCGAGCAACGCCGCGUGAGUGAAGAAGGUUUUCGGAUCGUAAAGCUCUGUUGUAAGAGAAGAACGAGUGUGAGAGUGGAAAGUUCACACUGUGACGGUAUCUUACCAGAAAGGGACGGCUAACUACGUG